rnacentral:ribozyme from 1 species
GCGCAGGUGGACCUCGGGUUCAAGCGGCAGAUGCACGCCCAAGAAGAGGCGAAAACCGAGGCCGAGAAGCGGCGG